rnacentral:lncRNA from 1 species
AUGUUGUACCAACAGUGGAGACCUAACUACUGCCGAAGUAGGAGGCUGAGAUUGCAAAGCCCUGGGGGCAGGGCCCUGCCUUUGCACUUCCCAUUCAAUUCCAGGGGCUUUGGUGUUCAACCAAGGAAAUCCUCAGGUUCCGGAUGGGUCAGGACGGGGGUCCAAGUCGCGGUCCGAGGGAGGGGAGAUGCGACUGUCAGCGCCGUUCCCGAGCCUGCUGGACCGGAGCCCGUCACGUCCCCCGCCCUUGGGAAUCGAGUGUCACCUGCGCUUUCCCAUGGCUGCCAGGAGAUAUCUAGACAGAUUUUCCCAACGUGCUGUGAAAACUAGUUCGCGCAAAAGACCCAGGCCUCCUGAAAUCGCGCUGACUGCCUGCUAUGCUAGACCUUUCGUCCAAAGAUCCAGGGGACUGCUCAUUGAAAAAGUAUUUACUGAGGCCUGCCACAAACUCGCCUUAUGGAGGAGCUAACAGCCUAGUUAGCUAUAUUGUAGAGGUUUUGUUUUCUUGUUUUCUACAAACCAUCCACCUUCUCCGCAUUUUGGUGGUAUGAGUCUUAUUUUUUAUAUUUUCUUUUGAAAAGAUGCACUCCCAGGUUACAGUUUAAAAAGAUAAGUCUGUUCUUUGCAUGACUUAACAUCCUGUUUUUAGUUUGGAAUACAGCGCUCUGCAUCCUAGUUCCUGAUCACGUUUUAAGAUUGUGAACAUUCUUACAGAAAACAAACCUAUGGUUACUAAAGGGCAAACGUGGGGGUGGGGGCGGCAGGGAAAAAUCAGGAGCUUGGGAUGAAUAUACACACAUUACUGUAAGACAGAUAAGCAACAAGGGACCUCCUGUAUAGCACAGAGACUCUACUCAAUAUUCUGUGAUAACUAUAAGAGAAAAGAAUUGGAAAAAGAAUGAAUAUAUGUAUAUGUAUAACUAAAUUGCAUUGCUGUACCCCUGAAACUAACACAAUAUUGUAAAUCAACUAUACUCCAAUAAAAUUUUUUAAAAGUCCCA